CUGUUGAUUGACUUCGGUCAAUUACUUUUACAAACAUUGUGUAAUGAACGUCAUGUUAUUAUAACAAAAAUAACUUUCAACAACGGAUCUCUUGGCUCUCGCAUCGAUGAAGAACGCAGCGAAAUGCGAUAAGUAAUGUGAAUUGCAGAAUUCAGUGAAUCAUCGAAUCUUUGAACGCAACUUGCGCUCUCUGGUAUUCCGGAGAGCAUGCCUGUUUGAGUAUCAUGAAAUCUCAACCAUUAGGGUUUCUUAAUGGCUUGGAAUUGGGUGUUGCCAGUCCCCUGGCUCGCCUUAAAAGAGUUAGCGUGUUUAACUUGUCUAUCUGGCGUAAUAAGUUUCGCUGGUGUCGGCUUGAGAAGUACGCUUCUAAUCGUCUUCGGACAAUUCUUGAACUCUGGUCUCAAAUCAGGUAGGGCUACCCGCUGAACUUAAGCAUAUCAAUAAGCGGAGGAAAAGAAACUAACAAGGAUUCCCUUAGUAACGGCGAGUGAACCGGGAAAAGCUCAAAUUUGUAAUCUGGCUGUCUUCGAUAGUCCGAGUUGUAAUCUAUAGACGUGUUUUCCGUGCUGGACCGUAUCUAAGUCCCUUGGAACAGGGUAUCAAAGAGGGUGACAAUCCCGUGCUUGAUACGACCACCAGUGCUCUGUGAUACACGCUCUACGAGUCGAGUUGUUUGGGAAUGCAGCUC
rnacentral:rRNA from 1 species